rnacentral:rRNA from 1 species
AGAGUUUGAUCCUGGCUCAGAGCGAACGCUGGCGGCAUGCUUAACACAUGCAAGUCGCACGGGCACUUCGGUGUCAGUGGCGGACGGGUGAGUAACGCGUAGGUAUCUAUCCUUGGGUGGGGGAUAACGGCUGGAAACGGCUGCUAAUACCGCAUGAUAACUGAGGUUCAAAGGCGCGAGUCGCCUGGGGAGGAGCCUGCGUACGAUUAGCUAGUUGGUGGGGUAAAGGCCUACCAAGGCUGCGAUCGUUAGCUGGUCUGAGAGGAUGAUCAGCCACAUUGGGACUGAGACACGGCCCAAACUCCUACGGGAGGCAGCAGUGGGGAAUAUUGGACAAUGGGCGAAAGCCUGAUCCAGCAAUGCCGCGUGUGUGAAGAAGGUCUUCGGAUUGUAAAGCACUUUCGACGGGGACGAUGAUGACGGUACCCGUAGAAGAAGCCCCGGCUAACUUCGUGCCAGCAGCCGCGGUAAUACGAAGGGGGCUAGCGUUGCUCGGAAUGACUGGGCGUAAAGGGCGCGUAGGCGGAUGGCACAGUCAGAUGUGAAAUUCCCGGGCUUAACCUGGGGGCUGCAUUUGAUACGUGUGAUCUAGAGUGAGGAAGAGGGUCGUGGAAUUCCCAGUGUAGAGGUGAAAUUCGUAGAUAUUGGGAAGAACACCGGUGGCGAAGGCGGCGACCUGGUCCUUUUACUGACGCUGAGGCGCGAAAGCGUGGGGAGCAAACAGGAUUAGAUACCCCGGUAGUCC